AGGUGCGAAAGCAGGUCAUAGUGAUCCGGUGGUUCUGAAUGGAAGGGCCAUCGCUCAACGGAUAAAAGGUACUCCGGGGAUAACAGGCUGAUACCGCCCAAGAGUUCAUAUCGACGGCGGUGUUUGGCACCUCGAUGUCGGCUCAUCACAUCCUGGGGCUGAAGUAGGUCCCAAGGGUAUGGCUGUUCGCCAUUUAAAGUGGUACGCGAGCUGGGUUUAGAACGUCGUGAGACAGUUCGGUCCCUAUCUGCCGUGGGCGCUGGAGAACUGAGGGGGGCUGCUCCUAGUACGAGAGGACCGGAGUGGACGCAUCACUGGUGUUCGGGUUGUCAUGCCAAUGGCACUGCCCGGUAGCUAAAUGCGGAAGAGAUAAGUGCUGAAAGCAUCUAAGCACGAAACUUGCCCCGAGAUGAGUUCUCCCUGAGACUUAGAGUCUCCUGAAGGAACGUUGAAGACGACGACGUUGAUAGGCCGGGUGUGUAAGCGCAGCGAUGCGUUGAGCUAACCGGUACUAAUGAACCGUGAGGCUUAACCUUAC
rnacentral:rRNA from 1 species